CUACAGAAGAAGCACCGGCUAACUCCGUGCCAGCAGCCGCGGUAAUACGGAGGGUGCGAGCGUUAAUCGGAAUAACUGGGCGUAAAGGGCACGCAGGCGGUGACUUAAGUGAGGUGUGAAAGCCCCGGGCUUAACCUGGGAAUUGCAUUUCAUACUGGGUCGCUAGAGUACUUUAGGGAGGGGUAGAAUUCCACGUGUAGCGGUGAAAUGCGUAGAGAUGUGGAGGAAUACCGAAGGCGAAGGCAGCCCCUUGGGAAUGUACUGACGCUCAUGUGCGAAAGCGUGGGGAGCA
rnacentral:rRNA from 1 species